AGAGUUUGAUCCUGGCUCAGGAUGAACGCUGGCGGCGUGCCUAAUACAUGCAAGUCGAACGCUUCACUUCGGUGAAGAGUGGCGAACGGGUGAGUAAUACAUAAGUAACCUGGCAUCUACAGGGGGAUAACUGAUGGAAACGUCAGCUAAGACCGCAUAGGUGUAGAGAUCGCAUGAACUCUAUAUGAAAAGUGCUACGGGACUGGUAGAUGAUGGACUUAUGGCGCAUUAGCUGGUUGGUAGGGUAACGGCCUACCAAGGCGACGAUGCGUAGCCGACCUGAGAGGGUGACCGGCCACACUGGGACUGAGACACGGCCCAGACUCCUACGGGAGGCAGCAGUAGGGAAUUUUCGGCAAUGGGGGAAACCCUGACCGAGCAACGCCGCGUGAAGGAAGAAGUAAUUCGUUAUGUAAACUUCUGUCAUAGAGGAAGAACGGUGGAUAUAGGGAAUGAUAUCCAAGUGACGGUACUCUAUAAGAAAGCCACGGCUAACUACGUGCCAGCAGCCGCGGUAAUACGUAGGUGGCGAGCGUUAUCCGGAAUUAUUGGGCGUAAAGAGGGAGCAGGCGGCACUAAGGGUCUGUGGUGAAAGAUCGAAGCUUAACUUCGGUAAGCCAUGGAAACCGUAGAGCUAGAGUGUGUGAGAGGAUCGUGGAAUUCCAUGUGUAGCGGUGAAAUGCGUAGAUAUAUGGAGGAACACCAGUGGCGAAGGCGACGAUCUGGCGCAUAACUGACGCUCAGUCCCGAAAGCGUGGGGAGCAAAUAGGAUUAGAUACCCUAGUAGUCCACGCCGUAAACGAUGAGUACUAAGUGUUGGGAGUCAAAUCUCAGUGCUGCAGUUAACGCAAUAAGUACUCCGCCUGAGUAGUACGUUCGCAAGAAUGAAACUCAAAGGAAUUGACGGGGGCCCGCACAAGCGGUGGAGCAUGUGGUUUAAUUCGA
rnacentral:rRNA from 1 species